rnacentral:lncRNA from 1 species
UGCCGGCCGUGUUGGCUUAUUCAUUCUUUUUAACGUAGCAUUCAGAGCUAGUUGUCGCGGUUGACUAUAGCAUUCAGAGUCAGUUCUUCCUUAUGGGUCUUCAAGGGUAUUAUAAUUUUCCACAUACGAUAUACAUAUUGAUAAGAUAAACGCUCUGCUCUACUACUUAAUUUGCGCUGUCCAUGAAUCUUGCUGAUCAUCAUGCGCACAAAUGAAUGGGACAUUGUUGUCAGUAAUCUAACUAAACAACCAGCCACAGCAAUCUAACUAAACAGCCAGCCAUACGCCCAGCGGCCAGCGCGUUCUUGACAACCUGAAAAAUACAAAAACACUGUCCUUUAUUAUAUACGUCAAUAAUUUUUUAACUUCCAAACCAAUUUCAUGACGUGCAAAUUUUUUAACGACUACAGAAUGUAAGAAUUCCGAUGGAUAGAGCGGAUCAGCAUCAGCAAGAUAAUCAAUUGACAUAAUAUCACAGCUAACAAUUAUCUUGGAACAACCAGACAUAUACGGUUAUAAAGAGAUCCACUAAUAUCAUCAAGCAUUUUAUUAGUUCUGACGGUUAGCAUAAAUGAAGAAAAACGGAUCACGUGCUAUUAAUAGUAGCAGAUAUGUUAUAUCUUUAGUGGGCAAAAUCACUAAAUUUUUAGAAUGCGCAGCCAUGAAGUAGAAGCUUUGAUCGGAGCUGAAAUUCGGUUUUGCCAACUGUAAGUGCAGAUAUUGCUGUUGACGAUGUCCUGUACCCACUGAGCAAAUUCAGAUAGUUUCGUACAGUGCAUGGCAUCCAUUGCAUUUAGAUCAAUUAAAGGAAGGGAAAAAAGUCAUGGCGUAAAACCGUAAACUAAUGCACACAAGCAUCUCAUUGUACUAUCAUAAUAUGUAAUUCUCAGCUAGAAUUGACAUUACAUGGCCAAACUUUUUCAGAUUGUGACAUCAUUUUUUUCAUGUACCCAAGACUGAAAACUGAAAAGGAACUUUCAAAAAGCUACUUACAGCAAUAACUUUGUUCUCUGAAAUGCUGGUUAGUACUAAAAACAAGAAGGCAUCGUUGUCAUUGUUUGUCUAGAACAGCAGUACAUAGGAGCUUAUCAAUCUGAAGCUUGUAUGCUGAACUCACCGAUUGCAAGGAAGAGGGAGAAGCUGAUGGAGGCAGGGCUACAGGAAACUGGUGUUGCGCGACACAGACAGGGAGAAUAAUGAUACGCACGGGUCUUGGACAGUGGACAUCUUUGCAGCAGGAGCCGGGUGUUUGGCUGACGAAGUAGUCGCUCAGCUGCGGAAGCAAUCUAUGUUAUUUCUAUACAAGAUGGGAAAACAAUCUCUGAAAUGCUUAAUGAUUCGUUUCCCAUCUCUAGAGACUGUAUGGCCUAUUAGCAUGGGCCACAUAAAAAUCAAGAAGAAUAUGUACUAUAUAUUAUGCACAUAUGUCACUACAACCCAUACUGUAGUAGAAUAGAACAGGUUGAAUCCUCGGAACCAACUUAAACUGACAACUUUCACUUCAUCGACACUCAAAUGAACACUCUUUCCUCUUUGCUCAUACUUUAUAGAACUGGCCACAGCUAUCACAAAAACUCAUAGUUCAGUCAAAAAAUUGUACAAUUUAUCUUAUUUCUGUUAACUGGGGGAAAUAGUAGAAUCAAGAUACUCUGCAGCCCAUAAAACUACCUCAUAUAUUAACUUGGAAAGGAAUUAACUAAGAAGUGGCCAAAAAUUAAGAGAUGUCUAAAAAGACAGUGACAUUGUGAAAGCAAGUGAUAGAUCUCUAAAAUUAGGAUGGAAUGAAAGGAACCAAGUAGUGUGACAAUUAUAAGAUAUAUAAAAAGAUAACAGUUGAUAAGCAAAUGAGAGAUCUCUGAUAAUGAUUUAUUAGCAUGAAUCUCAUAACCACACACUCAUGUUUCCCUUACGUAGGCAGCAAAAGUCUAAAUGAUUAAGAUACUAUCCUCUUAACCUAUUAAAUUUGGAGUCACAAACAUUUUCCUACCAUCAAGUAACCUACAAAACCCACACAAAGAAGGAUCUGACAAACUAACUUUAUUUUUUCAAACAUUCAAAUAUACAAAUAAGCCAAAAGAGAGAUAAAUUUUCAAAAAUAACUUUAUCAUUCACUGAUAUACAACAAGUAGUCUAGAAAACCCAUACUUGAAUCAUUCUUAGCAAGAUAAACAUGUAGUACCUGAAGAACAUGCUACACAAAAUCCCUCUGGAACUCCAAGGUAAUGAAUCAAUCUUAUGGGUUGACUAAACCAAUCCUUUUGAUUAAAGGCAUCCUGCAUGUGCAAAGCAAAAAACAUAUCAUAAUGGGAUAUCAACUUGAUGGAAAAAAAACAUACCAUAAAAUAUUUAGUUGCGAAAACGACUAUUGUACAAGAGAUAUCGGCUUGAUACGGAAUAUGAUGGAAUAAGAAUAGUAAUUACAGUGAUCUAAACACUCUUAUACUCCCUCCGUCCCGAAAUACUUGUCGGAGGAAUGGAUGUAUCUAGACGUAUUUUAGUUCUAGAUACAUCCAUUUUUAUGCAUUUCUCCGACGAGUAUUUCCGGACGGAGGGAGUAUUUCUUUAAGAGGGGGGUACAAAGUAAUGAUCUCAUAAGUGCGAGAGGGGAAAGAACAACACCUGAUCAUGUUGAAGUAUAAUAGUGAACUGUACAUUCACACUUUAGACAACCCGAGCUUUAUAACUGAAACAAAAACAAGAUGGUAUUGAUCCUCCUUGGAUAAAUUAAUUCCCAAUAGAGAAGAAGUUCUACUUGUGAAUCUACAAAAAUAAUUCAAUAUUGUUCUAGUAUUUAAAAAAAUUCACCAUGGAAGCUACCUCAUUAUCAACCCAUACGCAGAUUACAUAAUCAGUGCAACAUCAAGAAAGCCGAAGAUUGUGCAAAAAUUUGCAUCCACCUCUAAAUAUAGUAGAAGACCUGCAAGGAAGCGAUUACUAUUAGUAAUCUAGUAGAAAUUAUCAUCUGUCCCUACCAGAAACCUGAUUAUAUAUAAGCUAUUUGUGUAACAUAUGCACACAAAUUAGCUGCGGCUACAUUUACAUUCUAACUUGAAACGAUUGCGAGAAAGGCUUUUAAGAUAAUGAACACACCAAAAAGAAGUACAGUAGUUUUUUCUGCAUGAACACGAUUCCUCAAUUUUGGGCUUUUGGCUGAAAUUACAGCAUUUUCCAGUGCAGAAGUUGUCAUAUCUCUGCUCUAGAAGUGAUGUAUACGAAAAUAAGCACCAAGUAGAAGGCAAAACUAAGAAAUAGGAAAAGGAGAACCAAAGAUAUUGCUGGGUGGUACUCACUGAUUCAUGUGAAGACGAAGACAUGGGGCUGGACGGGGAGCUCGAACUUGAGAUUGAAGUACUCGCUGACUUAUGCUCCAUCUGAUCUCCAUGUCCAGCAGCCCCAGCCUGCUGCGAGCCAGCAACCUCCAAGGCUCCAACGUGCAGCCAGUAACCGUGCUGCUCUCUCGGCGCGUGGCCCGGUGACGCGCCCCGGCGGUGAUGCCUCUAAGCUCUGACGCACGACGGAAUCGACCCGGCUUCAGCCCUUCCUCCAGGUGGAGGGAGCUUGAUCCAAAGGAGAGAGGGGAGUGAAAAGAUUAGGAGGAACCUACUUCAUUGAUGCUUUCUCUGUUCACAGAUCGGCCAUGCGGGUGGAGAGGUGGGGGCCUGGCAGUGGUGCGUGGAGUCAUAGGCCGGCGGCGAAUUGGUUGUGUGCGCCGCCAGAUUUUGGAAGACAGGCGCAGUGGCGGAGGGAUGAC